CAUGGGUGUGGAUCCAUCAUGAAUAAAUUAAUGCCUUUGCUGUUGGUGGGGGCAGGGAGCAUGGUACAGGGGUGACUGAGUUCCUGCUUUGUUAGUUCCCACUGAAACUGAUUGACAAAAAGGGCCUGGCACCUCUCUCUUCUCUCUCUUUCUCUCUCUCACCAUGUGAUCUAUGCAUGCCUGUUCCCGUCUGCUUGCACUAAGAAUGGAAACAGCCUAAGUUCCUCACCAGAAGCAGAGGCUGGCACCAUGUUUGUUAUGCAGCCUGCAGAACCGCUGGGGACAGCUCUCUGAAAAUAGGAAUAAAUAGUGGCUCCUCGAUAAACACCUUCUUGCCUACAGCAUGUGUGACUGCAAACACAUUCCCACUUCAACUAAUCCAAGACGAGAAGGAUGACAAAAUAAGAGAAAUCAUGGGAAAAACUGCCCAUUUCUGUUUUGUCCACUUUGCUUUGGGAAGUGAGAGCUAUAGUCAUUAUCACCACAUCCCCUGGCAUCCAAUUCCACAUUCUACCUCAGAAGUUAUUUGGAGGAAUCCAAGGACUUAGAUAUUUUACCAAUGUCUCUGGUGAUUUUUAUAUCGGUGGCCCAUGGGUGUUGACCUAUGAAACUGCUCUGCAGCAGAUAUUGAGAAAUAGGAGUUCAGGUAGUGAGACGAGCAUGAGUGGAGCAGGAGACGGCUGUCCCCCACCCACAAGGAAUAUCAGAUGAUGGUUCAGCGAUCAUCACAUUGCCUCUCUGAAAGUGAUAAAUUGGCAGCUGGCACCAGGGAGAGGCUAUUUCCUGAUGGCCCACACCUGUUGCACUAAGAUGUUAAUCGAAUGCAGAUUCCAGGGAGAAACAACUUCCUGGGCAUGUGCGUAAGAGACAAAAUGGCAGGUAUGACCUUCUGGGGACACUCCACCAGAAAAGGGAAGAAAACCUCAGAUGGGCAUGCAUAUAACUUCCUAAACACACUGCUCACACUCUCCUCCCAAGGGUAAGGAGGGCACUGCACAUGCAGGCAGCCCAUCCUAAGGGAAGCAUCCUGGGAAAGGGGUCAGUCUAUAUGGUUCUGGGAUCAAGAUUAAACACCACAUUAGACCUUCAAGUUGCCCACUUGGGUCUCUUCUAUGUGUAUUUUUCUUUCCUUUCUUUUCUGCUCUAAAGCUUUUUUAAAUAAACAUACACAUCCCUCCUCUGAAACUUGCCUUGGUCUCUUUUUCUGCCAUAUGCAACUCAGUCAAAUUAUUUCUUCUGAGGAGGAAAAAAUUGAGGUAGCUGCAUUCCCAUACAGAUUCACCAUCGGUAACUCAGAUACCUUCUACUGGCCAUAUGUUUGGUGUUCUAUUCAAGAAAUAAUUGCUAAAGCCAAUGUCUUAAAGUGUUUUUCUUAUGUUUUUCUUCUAAGAGUUUUACAGUUUCAGGUCUUACACUUAAGUAUUUAAUUAAUUUGAGUUGAUUUUAUGCAUGGUGUAGGAUGUGUGUAAUAUUCAGUUUUUCUAACACUAUUUGUUGAAGAGACUAUUCUUUUUCCACUGUGUAUCCUUAGAAGCAUUGCUGAAGUGUUGUUG
rnacentral:lncRNA from 10 species